rnacentral:rRNA from 1 species
CGUGUCGUGAGAUGUUGGGUUAAGUCCCGCAACGAGCGCAACCCUUAUCAUUAGUUGCCAUCAUUUAGUUGGGCACUNUAAUGAGACUGCCGGUGACAAACCGGAGGAAGGUGGGGAUGACGUCAAGUCCUCAUGGCCCUUAUGGGUAGGGCUUCACACGUCAUACAAUGGUCGGUACAGAGGGUUGCCAACCCGCGAGGGGGAGCUAAUCUCACAAAGCCGAUCGUAGUCCGGAUCGCAGUCUGCAACUCGACUGCGUGAAGUCGGAAUCGCUAGUAAUCGUGGAUCAGCAUGUCACGGUGAAUACGUUCCCGGGUCUUGUACACACCGCCCGUCACACCAUGGGAGUGGGUUCCACCCAGAAGGUAUGGUAAGUCUAACCCGCAAGGAGGGGCCGCCUUACCCACCGGUGGGGUUNCAUGANCUGGGGGAAGU